rnacentral:rRNA from 1 species
CCUACGGGAGGCUGCAGUGAGGAAUAUUGGUCAAUGGACGCAAGUCUGAACCAGCCAUGCCGCGUGCAGGAAGACGGCUCUAUGAGUUGUAAACUGCUUUUGUACGAGGGUAAACGCAGAUACGCGUAUCUGUCUGAAAGUAUCGUACGAAUCAGGAUAGGCUAACUCCGUGCCCGCAGCCGCGGUAAUACGGAGGAUUUAAGCGUUAUCCGGAUUUAUUGGGUUUAAAGGGUGCGUAGGCGGUCUGAUAAGUUAGAGGUGAAAUCCCGAGGCUCAACUUCGGAAUUGCCUCUGAUACUGUUCGGCUAGAGAGUAGUUGCGGUAGGCGGAAUGUAUGGUGUAGCGGUGAAAUGCUUAGAGAGCAUACAGAACACCGAUUGCGAAGGCAGCUUACCAAGCUACUUCUGACGUUGAGGCACGAAAGCGUGGGGAGCAAACAGGAUUAGAUACCCUAGUAGUC